rnacentral:rRNA from 1 species
AGUGAACGCUGGCGGUAGGCCUAACACAUGCAAGUCGAACGGCAGCACAGUAAGAGCUUGCUCUUACGGGUGGCGAGUGGCGGACGGGUGAGGAAUACAUCGGAUUCUACUUUUUCGUGGGGGAUAACGUAGGGAAACUUACGCUAAUACCGCAUACGACCUACGGGUGAAAGCAGGGGAUCUUCGGACCUUGCGCGAUUGAAUGAGCCGAUGUCGGAUUAGCUAGUUGGCGGGGUAAAGGCCCACCAAGGCGACGAUCCGUAGCUGGUCUGAGAGGAUGAUCAGCCACACUGGAACUGAGGCACGGUCCAGACUCCUACGGGAGGCAGCAGUGGGGAAUAUUGGACAAUGGGCGCAAGCCUGAUCCAGCCAUACCGCGUGGGUGAAGAAGGCCUUCGGGUUGUAAAGCCCUUUUGUUGGGAAAGAAAAGCAGCAGGUUAAUACCCCGCUGUUCUGACGGUACCCAAAGAAUAAGCACCGGCUAACUUCGUG